rnacentral:misc_RNA from 1 species
CAAAGGUGGGGGAGACAAGCCCCUCAAGGCAGGCAAGCCUUUUAAGCCUAAGGAGAAGCAGCCAGGGGAAGGAAGUAGCAAGGAUCGGUCUAGGCCGAAGAACGAUUGCUUCCUUUGUGGCGGGCCUCAUUGGGUGCGAGAGUGCCCCACUCGGGCCAAGUUAAAUGCCAUUGCAUCUACCUAUGAAGGGACGUCCCGAGAAGGGGAAGCCGCGCAAUUGGGGACAUUGCGGGUAAUGAAUGCCGUGCGAGCCAAGGUAGCCACGGGG